AACUUCGGUUAUAAGAUCCCUCGAAGAUGACGAGGUUAAUAGGUUCGAGGUGGAAGCGUGGUGACACGUGGAGCUGACGAAUACUAAUCGAUCGAAGACUUAAUCAAUUU
rnacentral:rRNA from 1 species